UCCUGUGUAGCUUAGUUGGUAAAGUGUCUGCCUGCAAUGCAGGAGACCUGGGUUCAAUUUCUGGGUCGGGAA
rnacentral:tRNA from 1 species